rnacentral:RNase_P_RNA from 1 species
GCAGUUGGACGGUCUGUCGCUUGCUCCACGUGGAGUAUGAGGAAAGUCCGGGCAACAGAGAGCAUCCCGCUUGUUAAUGUGCAAGGUGUCGGCGACGGCAGGGGAAACGCAGAAGAAAAUAACCGCCUCACUCCGGUGGGGUAAGGGUGAGAAGGUGGGGUAAGAGCCCACCAGGCGGGUGGUGACACCAUGUGCUGUGCGUCCCGGGAGUUGCAAGGUCAUGUAUACCGGUGUUUGAGGGUUGCUCGCCCGAGCCGGAGGGUAGACCGCUAUAGUGUGACGGCAACGUCAGACACAGAUAAAUGACAGACGCUGUAGGGAUUCUCCCCCUACAGUACAGAACCCGGCUUAUAGGCCAACUGUUUUC